rnacentral:rRNA from 1 species
AUUGAACGCUGGCGGCAGGCCUAACACAUGCAAGUCGAACGAGUGGCGGACGGGUGAGUAAUGUCUGGGAAACUGCCCGAUGGAGGGGGAUAACUACUGGAAACGGUAGCUAAUACCGCAUACCAUCGGAUGUGCCAAGAUGGGAUUAGCUAGUAGGUGGGGUAACGGCUCACCUAGGCGACGAUCCCUAGCUGGUCUGAGAGGAUGACCAUCCAGAUGCGGACGGAGGCACGGUCCAUGCUCCGACGGGAGGCAGCAGUGGGGAAUAUUGCACAAUGGGCGCAAGCCUGAUGCAGCCAUGCCGCGUGUAUGAAGAAGGCCUUCGGGUUGUAAAGUACUUUCAGCGUGGAGGCGUUACUCGCAGAAGAAGCACCGGCUAACUCCGUGCCAGCCGCCGCGGUAAUAC